rnacentral:rRNA from 1 species
AUUGAACGCUGGCGGCAGGCCUAACACAUGCAAGUCGAGCGGAUGAAGGGAGCUUGCUCCUGGAUUCAGCGGCGGACGGGUGAGUAAUGCCUAGGAAUCUGCCUGGUAGUGGGGGAUAACGUCCGGAAACGGGCGCUAAUACCGCAUACGUCCUGAGGGAGAAAGUGGGGGAGCUUCGGACCUCACGCUAUCAGAUGAGCCUAGGUCGGAUUAGCUAGUUGGUGGGGUAAAGGCCUACCAAGGCGACGAUCCGUAACUGGUCUGAGAGGAUGAUCAGUCACACUGGAACUGAGACACGGUCCAGACUCCUACGGGAGGCAGCAGUGGGGAAUAUUGGACAAUGGGCGAAAGCCUGAUCCAGCCAUGCCGCGUGUGUGAAGAAGGUCUUCGGAUUGUAAAGCACUUUAAGCUGGAAGGAAGGGCAGUAAGUUAAUACCUUGCUGUUUUGACGUUACCAACAGAAUAAGCACCGGCUAACUUCGUG